rnacentral:rRNA from 1 species
UACGUAGGGGGCAAGCGUUGUCCGGAAUCAUUGGGCGUAAAGCGCGUGUAGGCGGUUUGAUAAGUCCGCUGUGAAAGUCGGGGGCUCAACCCUCGGAAGCCGGUGGAUACUGUUGGACUUGAGUACGGAAGAGGCGAGUGGAAUUCCUGGUGUAGCGGUGAAAUGCGCAGAUAUCAGGAGGAACACCAAUUGCGAAGGCAGCUCGCUGGGACGUUACUGACGCUGAGACGCGAAAGCGUGGGGAGCAAACAGG